CCUACGGGGGGCAGCAGUGGGGAAUAUUGGACAAUGGGGGGAACCCUGAUCCAGCCAUGCCGCGUGUGUGAAGAAGGCCCUCGGGUUGUAAAGCACUUUCAGUGAGGAAGAACGCCUGGUGGUUAAUACCCAUCAGGAAAGACAUCACUCACAGAAGAAGCACCGGCUAACUCCGUGCCAGCAGCCGCGGUAAUACGGAGGGUGCGAGCGUUAAUCGGAAUUACUGGGCGUAAAGCGCGCGUAGGUGGCUUGAUAAGCCGGUUGUGAGAGCCCCGGGCUCAACCUGGGAACGGCAUCCGGAACUGUCAAGCUAGAGUGCAGGAGAGGAAGGUAGAAUUCCCGGUGUAGCGGUGAAAUGCGUAGAGAUCGGGAGGAAUACCAGUGGCGAAGGCGGCCUUCUGGACUGACACUGACACUGAGGUGCGAAAGCGUGGGUAGCAAACAGGAUUAGAUACCCGAGUAGUC
rnacentral:rRNA from 1 species